rnacentral:rRNA from 1 species
CACCGCGGUUAUACGAGAGGCCCAAGUUGAUAGGCGCCGGCGUAAAGGGUGGUUAUGAUCUUACUUAAAAUAAAGUCAAAUGUCUUCAAGGCUGUUAUACGCACCCGAAGAUAAGAAGCUCAACUACGAAAGUGACUUUAAGAAUUCUGACCCCACGAAAGCUGUGACA